rnacentral:rRNA from 1 species
GACGAACGCUGGCGGCAUGCCUAACACAUGCAAGUCGAACGAAACCUUCGGGUUUAUGGGCGCACGGGUGCGGAACGAGUGGGAACCUGCCCUUAGGUUCGGAAUACCUCCCCGAAAGGGAUGCUAAUGCAGCAUAAGCUCUUAGGACCAAAGAUGUAUUGCCUUUGGAUGGGCGCGAGUUGGAUUCGCUGGUUGGUAGGGUAAAAGCAGACCAAGGGGUCGAUGCAUAGCUGGUGUGAGAGGAUGAUCAGCCACACUAGGAAUGAGACACGGCCCAGAAUCCGACGCGAGGGAGCAGUGGGGUAUAUUGUAGAAUGGGCGAAGGCCUGAUCCAGCAAUGUCGCGUGAGUGAUGAUGGCCGUAGGGUUGUAAAGCUGUUUUACCCGGGGUGAUAAUGACAGUACCGGGUGAAUAAGCUCCGGCUAACUCCGUG